rnacentral:rRNA from 1 species
AGGAUUCGUCCAAGUGAAGCAGAGGACAGUGGCGGACGGGUGAGUAACGCGUGAGGAACCUGCCUCAAAGAGGGGGACAACAGUUGGAAACGACUGCUAAUACCGCAUAAGCCCACGGGUCGGCAUCGACCUGAGGGAAAAGGAGUGAUCCGCUUUGAGAUGGCCUCGCGUCCGAUUAGCUAGUUGGUGAGGUAACGGCCCACCAAGGCGACGAUCAGUAGCCGGACUGAGAGGUUGAACGGCCACAUUGGGACUGAGAUACGGCCCAGACUCC